rnacentral:tRNA from 1 species
UCCCUUCUAGCUUAAUGUUACUAAAGCACCGGUUUGAAGAGCCGGGGAUACCCCUGUGUGGUGGG